rnacentral:rRNA from 1 species
AACGAACGUUGGCGGCGUGGAUUAGGCAUGCAAGUCGAACGCGAAUCCCUGGGCAACUGGGGAGGAGAGUGGCGAAAGGGGCAGUAAGGCGUGGGUAACCUACCCUCCGGGCCGGGAUAGCUUCGGGAAACUGAAGGUAAUACCGGGCGACGCAGCGAGAUCGCAUGGUCUUGCUGCCAAAGGUCCGCCGCCGGGGGAGGGGCUCACGUGGUAUUAGCUAGACGGCGGGGUAACGGCCCACCGUGGCAAAGAUGCCUAGCAGGUGUGAGAGCACGACCUGCGCCACUGGCACUGAGACACUGGCCAGACACCUACGGGUGGCUGCAGUCGAGGAGCUUCGGCAAUGGGCGCAAGCCUGACCGAGCGACGCCGCGUGUGCGAUGAAGGCCUUCGGGUUGUAAAGCACUGUCGAGGGGGAGGAAGCCGCAAGGUUGACCUAUCCCUGGAGGAAGCACGGGCUAAGUUCGUG